AAGUCGUAACAAGGUUUCCGUAGGUGAACCUGCGGAAGGAUCAUUAAAUAAUUAAGAUGGCCUUUGCUAGUUUUCUAGCGAAUGGUUCAUUCUUUUUUACUGUGAACUGUUUUAAUUUUUCAGCGUCUGAGGAAUGUCUUUUAGCCAUAGGGAUAGGCUACUAGAAUGUUAACCGAGCUGAAAGUCAGGCUUAGGCCUGGUAUCCUAUUAAUUAUUUACCAAAAGAAUUCAGUAUUAUAAUUGUAACAUAAGCGUAAAAAACUUAUAAAACAACUUUUAACAACGGAUCUCUUGGUUCUC
rnacentral:misc_RNA from 1 species